rnacentral:ncRNA from 1 species
UCGAGAGGACAUUUCUCUAGUAUGAGAGGAUUGUGAAGGGCGCACCUCUGGUGUACCAGUUAUAAUGUCCACGGUAAACGCUGGGUAGUAAAGUGUGGAAUGCAUAAUUGUUGAAAGCAUCUAAGUAAUAAAACCAUUCAAAAAUGA